rnacentral:rRNA from 1 species
GUCGUGCGAGAAGUAUCUUCGGAUAUGAGUAGAGCGGCGGACGGGUGAGUAACGCGUAGGAAUCUACCUAGUAGAAGGGGAUAGCCCGGGGAAACUCGGAUUAAUACCGUAUACCUCCUUCGGGAGAAAGAAGGCCUCUCAUUGAAGCUUUCGCUACUAGAUGAGCCUGCGUAAGAUUAACUUGUUGGUGAGGUAAAGGCUCACCAAGGCGACGAUCUUUAGCGGGUCUGAGAGGACGAUCCGCCACAUUGGGACUGAGACACGGCCCAGACUCCUACGGGAGGCAGCAGUGGGGAAUAUUGGACAAUGGGCGCAAGCCUGAUCCAGCCAUACCGCGUGUGUGAAGAAGGCCCUAGGGUUGUAAAGCACUUUAAGUUGGGAAGAAAAGUUAUUGGUUAAUACCCAAUAGCCGUGACAUUACCAUCAGAAUAAGGACCGGCUAAUUCCGUGCCAGCAGCCGCGGUAAUACGGAAGGUCCAAGCGUUAAUCGGAAUUACUGGGCGUAAAGCGCGCGUAGGUGGUUUAUUAAGUUGGAUGUGAAAUCCCCGGGCUCAACCUGGGAACUGCAUCCAAAACUGAUUCACUAGAGUACGAUAGAGGGAGGUAGAAUUCACAGUGUAGCGGUGGAAUGCGUAGAUAUUGUGAAGAAUACCAAUGGCGAAGGCAGCCUCCUGGAUCUGUACUGACACUGAGGUGCGAAAGCGUGGGUAGCGAACAGGAUUAGAUACCCUGGUAGUCCACGCCGUAAACGAUGUCAACUAGCUGUUGGGGAACUAUGUUCUUCAGUGGCGCAGCUAACGUAGUAAGUUGAC